UGUUUCGGCAAGGGGGUCAUCCCGACUUACCAACCCGAUGCAAACUGCGAAUACCGGAGAAUGUUAUCACGGGAGACACACGGCGGGUGCUAACGUCCGUCGUGAAGAGGGAAACAACCCAGACCGCCAGCUAAGGUCCCAAAGUCAUGGUUAAGUGGGAAACGAUGUGGGAAGGCCCAGACAGCCAGGAUGUUGGCUUAGAAGCAGCCAUCAUUUAAAGAAAGCGUAAUAGCUCACUGGUCGAGUCGGCCUGCGCGGAAGAUGUAACGGGGCUAAACCAUGCACCGAAGCUGCGGCAGCGACGCUUAUGCGUUGUUGGGUAGGGGAGCGUUCUGUAAGCCUGUGAAGGUGUGCUGUGAGGCAUGCUGGAGGUAUCAGAAGUGCGAAUGCUGACAUAAGUAACGAUAAAGCGGGUGAAAAGCCCGCUCGCCGGAAGACCAAGGGUUCCUGUCCAACGUUAAUCGGGGCAGGGUGAGUCGACCCCUAAGGCGAGGCCGAAAGGCGUAGUCGAUGGGAAACAGGUUAAUAUUCCUGUACUUGGUGUUACUGCGAAGGGGGGACGGAGAAGGCUAUGUUGGCCGGGCGACGGUUGUCCCGGUUUAAGCGUGUAGGCUGGUUUUCCAGGCAAAUCCGGAAAAUCAAGGCUGAGGCGUGAUGACGAGGCACUACGGUGCUGAAGCAACAAAUGCCCUGCUUCCAGGAAAAGCCUCUAAGCAUCAGGUAACAUCAAAUCGUACCCCAAACCGACACAGGUGGUCAGGUAGAGAAUACCAAGGCGCUUGAGAGAACUCGGGUGAAGGAACUAGGCAAAAUGGUGCCGUAACUUCGGGAGAAGGCACGCUGAUAUGUAGGUGAAGUCCCUCGCGGAUGGAGCUGAAAUCAGUCGAAGAUACCAGCUGGCUGCAACUGUUUAUUAAAAACACAGCACUGUGCAAACACGAAAGUGGACGUAUACGGUGUGACGCCUGCCCGGUGCCGGAAGGUUAAUUGAUGGGGUCAGCGCAAGCGAAGCUCUUGAUCGAAGCCCCGGUAAACGGCGGCCGUAACUAUAACGGUCCUAAGGUAGCGAAAUUCCUUGUCGGGUAAGUUCCGACCU
rnacentral:rRNA from 1 species